rnacentral:rRNA from 1 species
GCUUGUCUCAAAGAUUAAGCCAUGCAUGUCUAAGUAUAAACUGCUUUAUACUGUGAAACUGCGAAUGGCUCAUUAAAUCAGUUAUAGUUUAUUUGAUGGUACUUACUUACUCGGAUAACCGUAGUAAUUCUAGAGCUAAUACAUGCACAAAAUCCCGACUUACGAAGGGAUGUAUUUAUUAGAUGGAAACCAAUGCAGGGCAACCUGGAAUAUGGUGAUUCAUAAUAACUCGCGGAUCGGUUUACCGAUGCAUCAUUCAAGUUUCUGCCCUAUCAGCUUUGGAUGGUAGGGUAUUGGCCUACCAUGGCUUUAACGGGUAACGGAGAAUUAGGGUUCGAUUCCGGAGAGGGAGCCUGAGAAAUGGCUACCACAUCCAAGGAAGGCAGCAGG